rnacentral:rRNA from 1 species
GACGAACGCUGGCGGCGCGCCUAACACAUGCAAGUCGAACGAGCGAGAGAGAGCUUGCUUUCUCAAGCGAGUGGCGAACGGGUGAGUAACGCGUGAGGAACCUGCCUCAAAGAGGGGGACAACAGUUGGAAACGACUGCUAAUACCGCAUAAGCCCACGGCUCGGCAUCGAGCAGAGGGAAAAGGAGCAAUCCGCUUUGAGAUGGCCUCGCGUCCGAUUAGCUAGUUGGUGAGGUAACGGCCCACCAAGGCAACGAUCGGUAGCCGGACUGAGAGGUUGAACGGCCACAUUGGGACUGAGACACGGCCCAGACUCCUACGGGAGGCAGCAGUGGGGAAUAUUGCACAAUGGGGGAAACCCUGAUGCAGCGACGCCGCGUGGAAGGAAGAAAGGUCCUUCGGGAUUGUAAAACUCCUGUUGUUGAGGAAGAUUAAUGACGGUACUCAACAAGGAAGUGACGGCUAACUACGUG